rnacentral:rRNA from 1 species
AUUGAACGCUGGCGGCAGGCCUAACACAUGCAAGUCGAACGGAGCGGCGGACGGGUGAGUAAUGCCUAGGAAGCUGCCUGGUAGUAGGGGAUAACGUCCGGGAACGGGCGCUAAUACCGCAUACUAUCAGAUGAGCCUCGGGCGGAUUAGCUAGUUGGUGGGGUAAAGGCCUACCAAGGCGACGAUCCGUAACUGGUCUGAGAGGAUGAUCAGUCACACUGGAACUGAGACACGGUCCAGACUCCUACGGGAGGCAGCAGUGGGGAAUAUUGGACAAUGGGCGAAAGCCUGAUCCAGCCACGCCGCGUGUGUGAAGAAGGUUUUCGGAUUGUAAAGCACUUUAAGUUGGGAGGCGGUACCAACAGAAUAAGCAACGGCUAACUUCGUGCCAGCCGCCGCGGUAAUUC